CGCCGAGGAGCGGCGCGGUGCUGCGCUAAGCCGAAAACAGAGGUGGAAGAAAACUGGCAGCUAUGAGCAAAGGAAAGAAGGGAGAACGGGAUCAAUUCCCAUGCUCAGUGGGACUGUGCGUGUCCUACUUAUAAUGUUCCUGUCUGCAAACAGUGGAUCUGUGUGUCAAAAUACUGCUGCACUACUGCUCAGCCCUGUGUUGUAGAAGUCAAGGUGAGAAGAAAUUGUAACAGUGAAUCCUCUGAUUUCAGACAGAUUAUGUACAGCCGGCUGUGAACUAACGGCCGUUGCAACAGGAAGAUGAACACAUUUGUAAGCACUGUGGGAACGUUCCUGAAGUCUGCUUGUUCCCUUCUUUGAAAAGAGGUCUUUUUCUUGCCCACUGGUGCCUGGGACUCUAUUCCAUCGUGAGCACUGUAUCCUCCUUAAUGAGCUUACUUUCUCUUGGAAUGGGAAGCGGAUAAGUAGUUUGUUUUAGAGUAAAAUGAAGAUGGGAGGAUGAGAUUAUGUAAAGUCACAUAUCUGUGUGCAUGUUAAAUUUGGAAGUGUCUUAGUUUCUUGUUUUCAUGGCAAAUAAAAGCUGAAAUGAGAAAAAAGAAUCACAAAAGCUACAUCAAAACAUCAUGGAAUUAUAUUGUGAAGCAGACUUUUCUAAUAGAAAGGAACGAUUUGAAAAUAACCUUUUCUUUCAAAACUAGUUGCUUGAGAGAACAAAGAAGCACAAAGCUGAAACAAUUGUAAAUGGUAACCUUUAAAAAUAGAUACGUAUUUCCUAAUGAACCUGGCAUUUUUUCGUUAUCACAGACACAUUCAUUAACUGAAAUAUUUAUUUGGGACUAUGGGAAGUUUAAAAAUGCAAGAGCUGCUUCAUUUGGUUUUUCCUUUCUGAAGAUGUGAUUUAUUUAGCAUUAAUUUCUGCUUGCUGCAGUUGAUAGCAGCUCAGUGUAAAGAUCUGGUGUCAGAGUUCUGCUUGUUGGCUAAGGACAUGGGCUGCUGGGGACUUGAAUGAACAUGGUUUCUGGGAUGGAGGUGAAAGAUGUGAGCUGUGCAUUAGGAGCAUGGCCUGUGUGUAUGCACAGCACUUCAGGACCAGACUCCUCACAGCAGGUCUGUAGGCAGCUUUUGGGAAAUCUGCAGAGAAUAGUGAAGAGGAGCACUCCUAUGGAUCUUCUAUGCAACUGGGAACUUUUUAGGACUGAUAAACUUGAGAUUAAAACCUUAUUUUAUUAUUAUGAUAACUUGGUCAUGUGUAUGUACCAUACAAGCAUGCAUUC